rnacentral:rRNA from 1 species
UACGAAGGGGGCGAGCGUUGUUCGGAAUUACUGGGCGUAAAGGGCGCGUAGGCGGCGACCCAAGUCAGAUGUGAAAGUCCUGGGCUUAACCUGGGGACUGCAUUUGAUACUGGGUUGCUUGAAUUCGGGAGAGGAUAGCGGAAUUCCCAGUGUAGCGGUGAAAUGCGCAGAUAUCAGGAAGAACACCCGUGGCGAAGGCGGCUUCUGGGACGGUACUGACGCUGAGACGCGAAAGCGUGGGGAGCGAACAGG